AUUGAACGCUGGCGGCCGGCCUAACACAUGCAAGUCGAGCGGAUGAAGGGAGCUUGCUCCUGGAUUCAGCGGCGGACGGGUGAGUAAUGCCUAGGAAUCUGCCUGGUAGUGGGGGAUAACGUCCGGAAACGGGCGCUAAUACCGCAUACGUCCUGAGGGAGAAAGUGGGGGAGCUUCGGACCUCACGCUAUCAGAUGAGCCUAGGUCGGAUUAGCUAGUUGGUGGGGUAAAGGGCUACCAAGGCGACGAUCCGUAACUGGUCUGAGAGGAUGAUCAGUCACACUGGAACUGAGACACGGUCCAGACUCCUACGGGAGGCAGCAGUGGGGAAUAUUGGACAAUGGGCGAAAGCCUGAUCCAGCCAUGCCGCGUGUGUGAAGAAGGUCUUCGGAUUGUAAAGCACUUUAAGUUGGGAGGAAGGGCAGUAAGUUAAUACCUUGCUGUUUUGACGUUACCAACAGAAUAAGCACCGGCUAACUUCGGG
rnacentral:rRNA from 1 species